rnacentral:rRNA from 1 species
UAACGCGUGAGAAUCUGGCUUCAGGUCCGGGACAACAGUUGGAAACGGCUGCUAAUACCGGAUGUGCCCUAGGGUGAAAGGCUAGCUGCCUGAGAUGAGCUCGCGUCCGAUUAGUUAGUUGGUGUGGUAAGAGCGCACCAAGACGGCGAUCGGUAGCUGGUCUGAGAGGACGAUCAGCCACACUGGAACUGAGACACGGUCCAGACUCCUACGGGAGGCAGCAGUGGGGAAUUUUCCGCAAUGGGCGAAAGCCUGACGGAGCAAUACCGCGUGAGGGAGGAAGGCUCUUGGGUUGUAAACCUCUUUUCUCAGGAAUAAUAAGUUGAAGGUACUGAGGAAUAAGCAUCGGCUAACUCCGUGCCAGCAGCCGCGGUAAUACGGAGGAUGCAAGCGUUAUCCGGAAUGAUUGGGCGU